UCCUGUGUAUAGAUCUCAGCGUUUACCCUGCUUAAACAAGCUAGCUUGUCAUAGUUGACAGAUUCUAACAGAAGACAUGAGAGACUGUUAUAACAGAGAUGAAGGAUGUUUCCAUUUGUGACACAGAAGAAGAUACAAGCUUCCUGUCUGCAUGGCUUGCUCCACAUCGCAGCAAGGGGCUCAGUAAACUUUCAUGAGCUAUUUUCAGGAGUUAUAAUAGUAGUGAUGGUAACGUCUGCAUGCCAGAACAGAAAUGGACUCACUUCUUGCUAAAACCUUAUGAAAGUAAACCACUUGAUCAUAUCAAAAAGAAGUCUUCAACCUACUGUCUUUCUUCUAGAAAACGCUGGUAGUAAAAGACAUUUAGAACUGGAAGUUGGCAUUUUAGAAUUUUUUACUGUAUUUGAUCAGAAUGUAUUCAGUCUUAAGUGAUCAUAACUUACAUGUUCAGCAGCU
ensembl:antisense Gm43140 predicted gene 43140